UUCCCUGGGUCUAUUUGUCCAGUUUUCCUGUCCCUUUCUGCCUUCUUGUCUUUGCUUUCGGGCAGGCGUUGCGUGUUUGGUUUGGCACACUUGAUGUUCCUCAGGCGUGUUAUUGUUUGUUUUCAAGGCCUAUCUAAUCUUUGGCUGAAAGGUGGACUUUGGGAGUGGCUUUAGGUGUGAGUUAGCAGGGUACCCAGGGACCAUAGUCUCAGGGGUUCCUCCAGUCUUUGACAGUCAAUACGUAUUUUUUUUUUUGCGGGGGGAGCAAGUUCAAUCCAUAACAGGGAGGUAAUGGAAUCCCCAUUUUACAAAUGAGGAAACUGAGGCUCAGAUCAUUUAAGUUGUCCAGUUGAUCAGUUGUAGGGCAGGAGUUAGAAGUCUAAUUGGUCUGGCUCCACAGCCCAUGUUCUUUCCUUGUUAAGAUUCUUUGGGGACACAGACCUGUGGUUGUAGAGUCAAUUCCGAAUCACAGCAACCCCAUGUGUUACAGAGUAGAACUGCUCCAUAGGGUUUUCUUGGCUCUAAUCUUUACAGAAGCAGCCCUGGUGGUGCAGCCGUUAAGCACUCGGUUGUUAACUGAAAGGUCAGUGGUUCAAACCUAUAAGCUUGCUGAAAAAGUUGUGGCAGCCUGCUUCCGUAAAUAUUACAGUCUCGGAAACGCUAUGGGGCAGUUCUACUCUGUCCUGUCGGGUCGCUAUGAGUCAGAAUUGAGUCAACGCCAAUGGGUUUGUUUUUUUUUAAUCUUUAAGGAAGCAGAUCAUUAGGCUUCUCUUCUGAGUCACUGCUGAGUGGGUUCCAACAGCCAGCCUUUGGUUAGUAGCCAAGCACAGACUAUCUGCACUGCCCGGGGACCUUACAGAGGGACUACCCGAGAGCAUUUCCUGAUUGGCCAGGGCUGAAGGAGUCCUGGUUCAUUCAUCCUAGACUCCCUCACCGAAACGCGGACACUGCAGGAAAGAAGCAUCCAGGCCCGGUGUGCGGGGGUUCAGGUGAUGCCUGGCUCCUCUCCACUCGCUUUCUGGCAUGGACACUCAGUGCCAGAUAAGAAAACCAAGGACACUCAUCUUCAGAGUUUAGGUAACUACUCAAGGUCACAUGGUUGAUUUCCCUCAUGGAUCACGUGCUCCACCCCAGGAUGGUCCCACAGAGCUGCCUACACCCAGCUGGCUCCCACUUUGUGCUUCCCUUUCAUGACUGUAUGAGUGCAGCAGACCAUGUGCCUGGACUAUGUGUAACGCAUUGCUUUGGUCGCAAAGAAGACCCACACAUGAUCUAUGCCUCCUGGGAUUUCCAAUUGGAUGCAGAGGACAAGGAGAUAUACAAUUCCAUCUAAGCGCACAGGUCCGGACAAUCUGUACCUGGACAGAAGGUCUGCUUCUCUUUCAUUCUUCAGGACAGUCAGAUGAUGUGCUUUUGUUUGCUAGUAAUAGAACAUUGAAUAAAAGUGGAUUAGCAA